rnacentral:rRNA from 1 species
UACAGAGGUGGCAAGCGUUGUUCGGAAUUAUUGGGCGUAAAGCGCUUGUAGGCGGCUUGUUAAGUUCCGUGUGAAAUCCCCAGGCUUAACCUGGGAAGUGCGCGGAAAACUGGCGAGCUUGAAUGCCGGAGAGGGUCGCGGAAUUCCAGGUGUAGCGGUGAAAUGCGUAGAUAUCUGGAGGAACACCGGUGGCGAAGGCGGCAUCCUGGACCGGCAUUGACGCUGAGGAGCGAAAGCCAGGGGAGCAAACGGG